rnacentral:rRNA from 1 species
CCUACGUGAGGCAGCAGUGAGGAAUAUUGGUCAAUGGGCGCGAGCCUGAACCAGCCAAGUAGCGUGAAGGAUGACUGCCCUACGGGUUGUAAACUUCUUUUAUAAAGGAAUAAAGUGAGGCACGUGUGCCUUUUUGUAUAUACUUUAUGAAUAAGGAUCGGCUAACUCCGUGCCAGCAGCCGCGGUAAUACGGAGGAUCCGAGCGUUAUCCGGAUUUAUUGGGUUUAAAGGGAGCGUAGAUGAGUUGUUAAGUCAGUUGUGAAAGUUUGCGGCUCAACCGUAAAAUUGCAAUUGAUACUGGCAGUCUUGAGUACAGUUGAGGUAGGCGGAAUUCGUGGUGUAGCGGUGAAAUGCUUAGAUAUCACGAAGAACUCCGAUUGCGAAGGCAGCUUACUAAACUGCCACUGACAUUGAUGCUCGAAAGUGUGGGUAUCAAACAGGAUUAGAUACCCGAGUAGUC